rnacentral:rRNA from 1 species
AGCGUACACGGUGGAUGCCCUGGCAGUCAGAGGCGAUGAAGGACGUGCUAAUCUGCGAUAAGCGUCGGUAAGGUGAUAUGAACCGUUAUAACCGGCGAUUUCCGAAUGGGGAAACCCAGUGUGAUUCGUCACACUAUCAUUAACUGAAUCCAUAGGUUAAUGAGGCGAACCGGGGGAACUGAAACAUCUAAGUACCCCGAGGAAAAGAAAUCAACCGAGAUUCCCCCAGUAGCGGCGAGCGAACGGGGAGCAGCCCAGAGCCUGAAUCAGUGUGUGUGUUAGUGGAAGCGUCUGGAAAGGCGCGCGAUACAGGGUGACAGCCCCGUACACAAAAAUGCACAUGCUGUGAGCUCGAUGAGUAGGGCGGGACACGUGGUAUCCUGUCUGAAUAUGGGGGGACCAUCCUCCAAGGCUAAAUACUCCUGACUGACCGAUAGUGAACCAGUACCGUGAGGGAAAGGCGAAAAGAACCCCGGCGAGGGGAGUGAAAAAGAACCUGAAACCGUGUACGUACAAGCAGUGGGAGCACGCUUAGGCGUGUGACUGCGUACCUUUUGUAUAAUGGGUCAGCGACUUAUAUUCUGUAGCAAGGUUAACCGAAUAGGGGAGCCGAAGGGAAACCGAGUCUUAACUGGGCGUUAAGUUGCAGGGUAUAGACCCGAAACCCGGUGAUCUAGCCAUGGGCAGGUUGAAGGUUGGGUAACACUAACUGGAGGACCGAACCGACUAAUGUUGAAAAAUUAGCGGAUGACUUGUGGCUGGGGGUGAAAGGCCAAUCAAACCGGGAGAUAGCUGGUUCUCCCCGAAAGCUAUUUAGGUAGCGCCUCGUGAAUUCAUCUCCGGGGGUAGAGCACUGUUUCGGCAAGGGGGUCAUCCCGACUUACCAACCCGAUGCAAACUGCGAAUACCGGAGAAUGUUAUCACGGGAGACACACGGCGGGUGCUAACGUCCGUCGUGAAGAGGGAAACAACCCAGACCGCCAGCUAAGGUCCCAAAGUCAUGGUUAAGUGGGAAACGAUGUGGGAAGGCCCAGACAGCCAGGAUGUUGGCUUAGAAGCAGCCAUCAUUUAAAGAAAGCGUAAUAGCUCACUGGUCGAGUCGGCCUGCGCGGAAGAUGUAACGGGGCUAAACCAUGCACCGAAGCUGCGGCAGCGACGCUUAUGCGUUGUUGGGUAGGGGAGCGUUCUGUAAGCCUGUGAAGGUGUACUGUGAGGUAUGCUGGAGGUAUCAGAAGUGCGAAUGCUGACAUAAGUAACGAUAAAGCGGGUGAAAAGCCCGCUCGCCGGAAGACCAAGGGUUCCUGUCCAACGUUAAUCGGGGCAGGGUGAGUCGACCCCUAAGGCGAGGCCGAAAGGCGUAGUCGAUGGGAAACAGGUUAAUAUUCCUGUACUUGGUGUUACUGCGAAGGGGGGACGGAGAAGGCUAUGUUGGCCGGGCGACGGUUGUCCCGGUUUAAGCGUGUAGGCUGGUUUUCCAGGCAAAUCCGGAAAAUCAAGGCUGAGGCGUGAUGACGAGGCACUACGGUGCUGAAGCAACAAAUGCCCUGCUUCCAGGAAAAGCCUCUAAGCAUCAGGUAACAUCAAAUCGUACCCCAAACCGACACAGGUGGUCAGGUAGAGAAUACCAAGGCGCUUGAGAGAACUCGGGUGAAGGAACUAGGCAAAAUGGUGCCGUAACUUCGGGAGAAGGCACGCUGAUAUGUAGGUGAAGUCCCUCGCGGAUGGAGCUGAAAUCAGUCGAAGAUACCAGCUGGCUGCAACUGUUUAUUAAAAACACAGCACUGUGCAAACACGAAAGUGGACGUAUACGGUGUGACGCCUGCCCGGUGCCGGAAGGUUAAUUGAUGGGGUUAGCGCAAGCGAAGCUCUUGAUCGAAGCCCCGGUAAACGGCGGCCGUAACUAUAACGGUCCUAAGGUAGCGAAAUUCCUUGUCGGGUAAGUUCCGACCUGCACGAAUGGCGUAAUGAUGGCCAGGCUGUCUCCACCCGAGACUCAGUGAAAUUGAACUCGCUGUGAAGAUGCAGUGUACCCGCGGCAAGACGGAAAGACCCCGUGAACCUUUACUAUAGCUUGACACUGAACAUUGAGCCUUGAUGUGUAGGAUAGGUGGGAGGCUUUGAAGUGUGGACGCCAGUCUGCAUGGAGCCGACCUUGAAAUACCACCCUUUAAUGUUUGAUGUUCUAACGUUGACCCGUAAUCCGGGUUGCGGACAGUGUCUGGUGGGUAGUUUGACUGGGGCGGUCUCCUCCUAAAGAGUAACGGAGGAGCACGAAGGUUGGCUAAUCCUGGUCGGACAUCAGGAGGUUAGUGCAAUGGCAUAAGCCAGCUUGACUGCGAGCGUGACGGCGCGAGCAGGUGCGAAAGCAGGUCAUAGUGAUCCGGUGGUUCUGAAUGGAAGGGCCAUCGCUCAACGGAUAAAAGGUACUCCGGGGAUAACAGGCUGAUACCGCCCAAGAGUUCAUAUCGACGGCGGUGUUUGGCA